UGGGGAAUUUUGGACAAUGGGGGCAACCCUGAUCCAGCAAUGCCGCGUGAGUGAAGAAGGCCUUCGGGUUGUAAAGCUCUUUUGUCAGGGAAGAAAUAGUCUGGGUUAAUACCCUGGAUUUUUGACGGUACCUGAAGAAUAAGCACCGGCUAACUACGUGCCAGCAGCCGCGGUAAUACGUAGGGUGCGAGCGUUAAUCGGAAUUACUGGGCGUAAAGCGUACGCAGGCGGUUAUGUAAGACAGAUGUGAAAUGCCUGGGCUUAACCUGGGAACUGCAUUUGUGACUGCAUAGCUAGAGUGUGUCAGAGGGGGGUAGAAUUCCACGUGUAGCAGUGAAAUGCGUAGAUAUGUGGAGGAAUACCGAUGGCGAAGGCAGCCCCCUGGGAUAACACUGACGCUCAUGUACGAAAGCGUGGGGAGCAAACA
rnacentral:rRNA from 1 species